rnacentral:rRNA from 1 species
CAGCAGUGGGGAAUAUUGCACAAUGGGCGCAAGCCUGAUGCAGCGACGCCGCGUGAGGGAUGGAGGCCUUCGGGUUGUAAACCUCUUUUGUUUGGGAGCAAGCCUUCGGGUGAGUGUACCUUUCGAAUAAGCGCCGGCUAACUACGUGCCAGCAGCCGCGGUAAUACGUAGGGCGCAAGCGUUAUCCGGAUUUAUUGGGCGUAAAGGGCUCGUAGGCGGCUCGUCGCGUCCGGUGUGAAAGUCCAUCGCUUAACGGUGGAUCUGCGCCGGGUACGGGCGGGCUGGAGUGCGGUAGGGGAGACUGGAAUUCCCGGUGUAACGGUGGAAUGUGUAGAUAUCGGGAAGAACACCAAUGGCGAAGGCAGGUCUCUGGGCCGUUACUGACGCUGAGGAGCGAAAGCGUGGGGAGCGAACAGGAUUAGAUACCCUGGUAGUCCACGCCGUAAACGGUGGAUGCUGGAUGUGGGGCCCGUUCCACGGGUUCCGUGUCGGAGCUAACGCGUUAAGCAUCCCGCCUGGGGAGUACGGCCGCAAGGCUAAAACUCAAAGAAAUUGACGGGGGCCCGCACAAGCGGCGGAGCAUGCGGAUUAAUUCGAUGCAACGCGAAGAACCUUACCUGGGCUUGACAUGUUCCCGACGGUCGUAGAGAUACGGCUUCCCUUCGGGGCGGGUUCACAGGUGGUGCAUGGUCGUCGUCAGCUCGUGUCGUGAGAUGUUGGGUUAAGUCCCGCAACGAGCGCAACCCU